rnacentral:rRNA from 1 species
GACUCGUCACACUAUCAUUAACUGAAUCCAUAGGUUAAUGAGGCGAACCGGGGGAACUGAAACAUCUAAGUACCCCGAGGAAAAGAAAUCAACCGAGAUUCCCCCAGUAGCGGCGAGCGAACGGGGAGGAGCCCAGAGCCUGAAUCAGCAUGUGUGUUAGUGGAAGCGUCUGGAAAGGCGCGCGAUACAGGGUGACAGCCCCGUACACAAAAGCGCAUGUGCUGUGAGCUCGAUGAGUAGGGCGGGACACGUGGUAUCCUGUCUGAAUAUGGGGGGACCAUCCUCCAAGGCUAAAUACUCCUGACUGACCGAUAGUGAACCAGUACCGUGAGGGAAAGGCGAAAAGAACCCCGGCGAGGGGAGUGAAAAAGAACCUGAAACCGUGUACGUACAAGCAGUGGGAGCACAGGUUUACCUGUGUGACUGCGUACCUUUUGUAUAAUGGGUCAGCGACUUAUAUUCUGUAGCAAGGUUAACCGAAUAGGGGAGCCGGAGGGAAACCGAGUCUUAAUUGGGCGUUAAGUUGCAGGGUAUAGACCCGAAACCCGGUGAUCUAGCCAUGGGCAGGUUGAAGGUUGGGUAACACUAACUGGAGGACCGAACCGACUAAUGUUGAAAAAUUAGCGGAUGACCUGUGGCUGGGGGUGAAAGGCCAAUCAAACCGGGAGAUAGCUGGUUCUCCCCGAAAGCUAUUUAGGUAGCGCCUCGUGAAUUCAUCUCCGGGGGUAGAGCACUGUUUCGGCUAGGGGGCCAUCCCGGCUUACCAACCCGAUGCAAACUGCGAAUACCGGAGAAUGUUAUCACGGGAGACACACGGCGGGUGCUAACGUCCGUCGUGAAGAGGGAAACAACCCAGACCGCCAGCUAAGGUCCCAAAGUCAUGGUUAAGUGGGAAACGAUGUGGGAAGGCCCAGACAGCCAGGAUGUUGGCUUAGAAGCAGCCAUCAUUUAAAGAAAGCGUAAUAGCUCACUGGUCGAGUCGGCCUGCGCGGAAGAUGUAACGGGGCUAAACCAUGCACCGAAGCUGCGGCAGCGACACUCAGGUGUUGUUGGGUAGGGGA